GAUGAACGCUGGCGGCGUGCCUAACACAUGCAAGUCGAGCGGACGGACCAGGAGCUUGCUUCUCUGUUGUUAGCCGCGGAGGGGUGUGUCACAUGUGGAUAACCUCCCUAUCUGACUGGGAUAAUCUCGGGAAACCGGCGCUUACAGCGGAUAAUCUUUUGCUCCGUAUGGUUCAUUAGUGAGUGACGGCCUUGCUGUCACUUAUCGAUGGAUCCGGGCUGGUUUAGCUGGUUGGUACGGUACCGGCCUACCACGGCAACGAUGCGUAGCCGACGGGAGAGAGGGAUCGGCCACACUGGAGCGGAGACGCGGACCAGACUCCUACGAGAGGCAGCAGUAGGGAAUGUGACGCAAUGGUGGAGAGCCUGACGGAGCAACGCGGCGUGAGUGAUGGAGGUCUUCGGUGCGUGAUACUCUGUUAUGAGGGGAGAACAGAUGUGUAAUUAGCUGUGCACAGCUUGACGGUACCUAAUCAGAAAGCCCCGGCUAACUACGUG
rnacentral:rRNA from 1 species